rnacentral:lncRNA from 1 species
UUUGGUUGUGAAAUGAUGAUGCUUAAUCCAAUGGAGCUUAAAAUUUGCAUGCUUAAUCUAGACACCUUUAGGGACAUUUUGGCAUUGAGUUUGUGAUUUUAUCAUUUCUGGUUGUGGAGAUAUGCUAUGAUCAAUAUGGGUGUGACAAUGUGUGUCACACCAUUUUUGUCCAACUUCCUGAUUUUAUUUACCACGCCUAUUGAAUGCC